UACAGAGGUCUCAAGCGUUGUCCGGAUUUAUUGGGCGUAAAGAGCGUGUAGGCGGCUAGAUAGGUCCGUUGUGAAAACUGGAGGCUCAACCUCCAGCUGUCGAUGGAAACCAUCUGGCUAGAGUCCGGAAGAGGAGAGUGGAAUUCCUGGUGUAGCGGUGAAAUGCGCAGAUAUCAGGAGGAACACCUGUGGCGAAAGCGGCUCACUGGACCAUAACUGACGCUGAUGCACGAAAGCUAGGGGAGCAAACAGG
rnacentral:rRNA from 1 species